rnacentral:rRNA from 1 species
GAUGAACGCUGGCGGCGUGCCUAAUACAUGCAAGUCGAGCGAACGGACGAGAAGCUUGCUUCUCUGAUGUUAGCGGCGGACGGGUGAGUAACACGUGUAUAACCUACCUAUAAGACUGGGAUAACUUCGGGAAACCGGAGCUAAUACCGGAUAAUAUUUUGCACCGCAUGGUUCAAAAGUGAAAGACGGUCUUGCUGUCACUUAUAGCUGGAUCCGCGCUGCAUUAGCUAGUUGGUAAGGUAACGGCUUACCAAGGCAACGAUGCAUAGCCGACCUGAGAGGGUGAUCGGCCACACUGGAACUGAGACACGGUCCAGACUCCUACGGGAGGCAGCAGUAGGGAAUCUUCCGCAAUGGGCGAAAGCCUGACGGAGCAACGCCGCGUGAGUGAUGAAGGUCUUCGGAUCGUAAAACUCUGUUAUUAGGGAAGAACAUAUGUGUAAGUAACUGUGCACAUCUUGACGGUACCUAAUCAGAAAGCCACGGCUAACUACGUG